GCAACCUUCAGUCCUUCGCUCCCCUGGCCCCAACCCCGUCGCUCGUUUUCCUCCUCGAGCGAGCCCAGCGGCGCCACCCCCUCCCUCCCCGUCCCGCUGCCGAGCGCCCCAGCCCACUCGCUCCGUCGCUCGUCUUUCUCCUCGCGCGAGCGCCGCAGCCCCCUCGCUCCGUCGCUCGUCUUCCUAUUCGCGCGAGCGCCUCCGCCGCAGGUAUCCGUCUCCCCUUCAAUUCUCUCGUUCCCGACCGUUUCUCCUCCCAUCACCCCACGAACAUCCGGCCCUUUAGCUCCCCGUUUCAUCUCCUUAAUCUUCCCCAAUUCGUAAUUGAGGCAAAAAUCAAGGUAGGGCGGCCGCCCUACCUUGCCCUACCGGGUCCACACCAUGCCCGUGCUGCUGACGCUCGGCGCGCCGCCGCGCAGCCCACCUCCACGUCUGCCUCGCCCACCGCCAGCCGCGUUCUCCUCCUCCUGGAACUGCCGUAUGAAGAAGAGGCACUUGCGUCCGGGGACCUUUGCCAUCCCUGCCGACACCCCCCGCGGUUGCGGUGACCCGCUCCCGCAUCCGGAGGAGCGUGACCCUCUCCUCCUCGGCGCCCUCCGCGCCGCGCGCCUAAGGGAUGAGGAGUCCCGCCGCCCAGAUCCUCUUUUUAUUGAUCCAUAUGCUGCUGUGCUGCUUUCGCUUGAUGUGGCACAACAAACAUCGGAUUCUCUUGUUUCACGUUUAAUGCCUUCUGAAGACCAUUAUAGGCUAACUACUAUAUAUGUUGAUGAAAAAUUGCAACAUUUGAUAAGCAGUUCAGACAAUGUUAGACAGAUUGUUUUGUUGACAGAUGGAAUGGACACUCGUCCAUAUAGGUUGUGCUGGCCAAGGAUGUCUGUUGUGUACGAUGUAUCACCUGGAAGAAUCUUCAGUACAUCAACCCAGCAACUCAAAGGAGCAGGAGCAAAAAUAUCGCGGAAUUGUGUUGUACUUCAUACUCCUUUAGAAUCUCCUGAUUUACAAGAGGCCUUGUGCAAAAAUGGCUUCAACGGAACUAGGCCAAGCUUGUGGAUCCUACAGGGUUUGCCUCUGUUCACUUCUACAAGUUUGGAAAACCUUUUGCUCGUUGUAAGCAAUUUAGCAACAAAAGGAAGUAUCUUCAUGGGUGAGGUGCCACAUUUUCCAGAUUGUACAGCAGCAUCAGACCUGUUAUCCAAGCAAGGCUGGCUAGACAACCUUUUCUUUACCCGCGGUUUUCGGGUCAGCUUUGAUCACUAUGAAAAUGUUGCAAAUGAUAUUGGAUCAGAUCUAGCUGUCCCAUGGAAACAACAUGGUGGAGUCCUUUUUGUUGCAGAACAGCUUCGGUUUUCAGAUGCACAGCAGAGGGACUUGGACUGGUCCUCAUGUAACUACUGCCCUUAGAAAAACAAACAGACAGACAGACAGACAAACAAAUGAAAACAACAAAAAUGCACCCACAUGAGCAGGCUAGCAGAAGCCUAUAAUGAUGGAGAGCUUCCGGAUGCACUUUGAAAGAGCAGAGGAGGAUGCUGAUGAAGAAGGAUUUGAGGAACUUUAGUUCAGUAUUCGCUUCAGGAGUCGUGCUUCAUGCAUGGGUUGUCUUUCACAUGGUAUUAUGGGACGACCGGGAGAAGCAAAUGGUAAGGUCCGCCUUGAUAGUGCCUUCGGGGACACCAGGUUUCUUGGGUUGUUUUGUUGUGACCGAGUUCAAGAAUGAAGUGCCACAGUUUGUGCCUGCUGGAGGAAUCAGCAAUUAUUUUUUUGCAAAAGGAGGAAUCAGCGUAUUGUUAUGAUGAAAGCACGAACCGGUUGUGACAGUAUAUUUUAUUUGAGCGUAAGAAACAUAGCAUCUUGUGGCCACUAUGUGGAUUACUAUUACUCUCUUUAACCAAGAAGAUACUCCAUUUCUAAAUAGAUGUUCUAGCUUUGUCCUAAAA